rnacentral:pre_miRNA from 1 species
AGUGUAGAAGAGAGUGGGAAUGUCAUGUUCUAUCAGGCAACGCACUCCUUUCUCGCUGC